rnacentral:rRNA from 1 species
AGUGAACGCUGGCGGUAGGCCUAACACAUGCAAGUCGAACGGCAGCACAGUAAGAGCUUGCUCUUACGGGUGGCGAGUGGCGGACGGGUGAGGAAUACAUCGGAAUCUACUUUUUCGUGGGGGAUAACGUAGGGAAACUUACGCUAAUACCGCAUACGACCUACGGGUGAAAGCAGGGGAUCUUCGGACCUUGCGCGAUAGAAUGAGCCGAUGUCGGAUUAGCUAGUUGGCGGGGUAAAGGCCCACCAAGGCGACGAUCCGUAGCUGGUCUGAGAGGAUGAUCAGCCACACUGGAACUGAGACACGGUCCAGACUCCUACGGGAGGCAGCAGUGGGGAAUAUUGGACAAUGGGCGCAAGCCUGAUCCAGCCAUACCGCGUGGGUGAAGAAGGCCUUCGGGUUGUAAAGCCCUUUUGUUGGGAAAGAAAAGCAGCAGGUUAAUACCCCGCUGUUCUGACGGUACCCGAAGAAUAAGCACCGGCUAACUUCGUG